rnacentral:lncRNA from 1 species
CCAUAUAGGUAGACAACAAAGGUGGAAAGGAUACUCUGAGAUCAUCUUAUAUUAAAACAGAGGAAAAAAGUAUGUGAUGCUCAUUCAAAAGUCUCAAAUGUGGUGGUGCAGGGUAUUAUCUAUUCUGCAUUUGCCAUGACAUGCAAAUGAUUGCUCGACAGAGAUGAGGUAUUAGGUAUUUAAUGUUUCCACUUUGUAGUUUACUAUUAACUAAUAACAUUUUCCUCUUCUAAAAUGUGGUAAAAGCAACCAUGUACCUAUGAGGUUAUUAAUAGAGGUUUUAUGUAUCCUCAUAUAUUUGAUAUGUUUUGGGUCCUUUGGGGGAAAAUACCUAAUAAACACAAAUAACCACUUCUGUUAACAGUGAUUUCUGUUCAUUUUCUCGCCAAUAAUAAUGCCAAAGCAUCUUACAAGCUCUGUGUAGCAGCUUGAGCAAAAACAAGAUAUAUUUAGUGUCAACACUGUGUAAAAAGUAAGAUAUAUUUA